rnacentral:rRNA from 1 species
GCGUGAGUGAAGAAGGCCUUAGGGUUGUAAAGCUCUUUCGGCGGGGACGAUAAUGACGGUACCCGCAGAAGAAGCCCCGGCUAACUCCGUGCCAGCAGCCGCGGUAAUACGGAGGGGGCUAGCGUUGUUCGGAAUUACUGGGCGUAAAGCGCACGUAGGCGGACUGUUAAGUCGGGGGUGAAAUCCUGGGGCUCAACCUCAGAAUUGCCCUCGAUACUGGCAGCCUUGAGUACGGGAGAGGUGAGUGGAAUUCCCAGUGUAGAGGUGAAAUUCGU